AGUGAACGCUGGCGGUAGGCCGAACGCAUGCAAGUCGAACGGCAGCACAGUAAGAGCUUGCUCUUACGGGUGGCGAGUGGCAGACGGGGGAGGAAUACAUCGGAAUCUACUUUUUCGUGGGGGAUAACGGAGGGAAACUUACGCUAAUACCGCAUAAGACCUACGGGUGAAAGUAGGGGAUCUUCGGACCUUGCGCGAUUGAAUAAGCCGAUGUCGGAUUAGCAAGUUGGCGGGGUAAAGGCCCACCAAGGCGACGAUCCGUAGCUGGUCUGAGAGGAUGACCAGCCACACUGGAACUGAGACACGGUCCAGACUCCUACGGGAGGCAGAAAUGGGGAAUAUUGGACGAUGGGCGCAAGCCUGAUCCAGCCAUACCGCGUGCGUGAAGAAGGACUUCGGGUUGUAAAGACCUUUUGUUGGGAAAGAAAAGCAGCAGGUUAAUACCCCACUGUUCUGACGGUACCCAAAGAAUAAGCACCGCCUAACUUCGUG
rnacentral:rRNA from 1 species